UAACGACUCUCGGCAACAGAUAUCUCGGCUCUCGCAUCGAUGAAGAACGUAGCGAACUGCGAUACUUGGUGUGAAUUGCAGAAUCCCGUGAACCAUCGAGUCUUUGAACGCAAGUUGCGCCCGAAGCCAUUUGGCCGAGGGCACGUUUGCCUGGGUGUCA
rnacentral:rRNA from 1 species